GGGGAGUUAGCUCAGUUGGUUAGAGCGCCGGCCUGUCACGUCGGAGGUCGCGGGUUCGAGUCCCGUACUUCCCGCCA
rnacentral:tRNA from 5 species